UACGUAGGGUGCGAGCGUUGUCCGGAAUUAUUGGGCGUAAAGAGCUCGUAGGCGGUGUGUCGCGUCGGCUGUGAAAACCUGGGGCUUAACUCUGGGCGUGCGGUCGAUACGGGCAUCACUAGAGUUCGGCAGGGGAGACUGGAAUUCCUGGUGUAGCGGUGAAAUGCGCAGAUAUCAGGAGGAACACCGGUGGCGAAGGCGGGUCUCUGGGCCGAUACUGACGCUGAGGAGCGAAAGCAUGGGUAGCGAACAGG
rnacentral:rRNA from 1 species